CCUUCCUCCACCUUUCGCUUUUUUUUUCCCUCCUCCUUUUCCCGGAGCAAGAGAUGCUGAGUUGGGGAAAGAGGAAUUGCUCGUUUUUUAGGAGAAAGGAAACCCGGAAAGUCUCGCCCUGCACCCGGCUGCAUCAGGUGGCCCUCGCUCUGGCCGCCACCGAGUCCGUUCUGCGGAACCUGAGUCUCCCCGCUCUGGCUGCCAGCGCCGUCCCGGUCCUGGAGCUGCUCUCGGCCGUGAGGAGCGACGUGGUCGCCUGCAUGCCCCGGCCCAGCCUCGGCUCCCUCUCUCAAUCUUCCGCUAGCCCUGGAGCCCCAGACUCUGCUCACGGGGGAGCCUGGGCGGGCAGAUCCAGGGACGCGGCCCGCUUAGCUGAACGCCGGCUUGCGGAAAAUCAGCCCUGGGCGCGGGCCCCAGAGAGAGCGCGGCCCGGCCAGGGGGGAUGGGCUCAGCCCCUAGAUUUCCACACUCAAGCGCCCCCCAUCCGCGGCCAGCCGGACGGAGUGGAUCCGAGCUCCGAGAAAAAGAAGAGAAUGCACAAAGCGAGGAGACCGGUGAGAGUGCAAUGAGGCGGGAGGAAGGAGAGCUAGAAGAUUGGGGGGCGGGGAAGUGGGGGAGGGGGAGGGGAGGAGAGGGGAGCGAUCCCGAAGGGAAAAAUGAAGAUGCGUCUGUUCUCCGCUAGGAAAGUCCCCGAUGUCGCGAAGCCGAGGCGGUUCUCAGCCUCCUGAGGCUGCUCACCUUUGACCUGAAGCUGGCGGUUCUCGCAGGGCCCUGUGCCUCAGCUAAGUAGUCCCGGAUCCAAAGCGGUUUGCUCUACGGGCGCUUUCCACCGGCGGUGCUGUGUCCCUGCGCCAACUGGCCAGCGAGGGGGUCAGGCUCCGCGCUGCGCCUUCGCCAGCGCUCAUUUCCCGAGAACAGCAUCAGACGGCAGGAGACCGGGGAUUUGUGCAGUGCCUCAGGUUCAAAACCCAGGCCCGGGGCCCGGGUAGGGGGCACAGGAAUGGGGGACGUUAUGAUCACUGAGGGAGGGGCGGCUAGGUGGCUCAGUGGGUAGAAUCCCGGCCCUGGAUUUAAGAGGACCUGAUUUCACUCAGAACUAGCUGUGUUACCCCCGGCAAAGUCACUUAACCCCAUUGCCUCAAAAGAAAAAUCCGGGUGGUCCAGUUGGGCAAUUCGCCGCAGGUCCUUGAACCUCAGUAUCUCCACAGCUGUAAAAUGGGACUAAAAACAGGGUAGUGUGAUAGAAAUUUGAGAGGCACCUGCAAUCGGGAAAUCUUGGUUCAAAUCCUGCCUUUGUCGUUGUCUACCAAAAUCACUUUGGAGAAAUUAUCCAAUCUGGGAAAUGGGGAUAAUACACCAAAUCGUUGGCGUGUGAUGCAAAGGAAAAUGGACCUGGAGUCUGCAGCCUUCGUGAUGACUGUGGAACACUGCACAAGUCACUUACCCAACCGGAUCACAAUUUCCUCCUGUAAAAUGGAGCUCAUACUUGAAGUAUUUAGCUCGCAAGAUUGUUGUGAGCAACGUGUUCUGUCCAUGAAAUGGUUUUGCAAAUGUGAAUGUCAUUAUCCUGCCCACCUCCUAAGGUUGCACAUGGCGAAAGGGCCUUGACUUUUGCAGAAUGCUUCCUAAAUAUGAUACUUUGUGAAGAGUAGAUUGUGAAACCUCUGUGAGGUAUAAUUCUGUCAAUGAGAUACAGAUGUUAUUUUUUUAAGUGAUUUUCCUUCCCCUUCUUUUCCCUGAUAAUUUAUCGUUAUUUAUAAACCUCUUACAAACGAUGGUGUCUUGUAACUCACUCCUUGCACACUCACUCCGGGCCUACAGGAUGGCAGCUCAAAGUCUUCAUCACAUUCUUAAAAAUCUCGGGGUCCCAUCAAAAAUAGUGAAGGGCAAUGUUUUGGGGUGGAGAGAGGGGGAGGAGCGGGACUGCUCUGGGCCAAUUCUGUAGCCGAUUCCUGAAUCACUGUGUGAUUGCACCUUCCCAAAUAUUUCUUGUUUUUGUUUCCCUACAAAAGGUGUCUAUGUUGGGUGUG
rnacentral:lncRNA from 1 species